CCUACGUGUGGCUGCAGUGGGGAAUAUUGGACAAUGGGCGAAAGCCUGAUCCAGCCAUGCCGCGUGUGUGAAGAAGGCCUUCGGGUUGUAAAGCACUUUCAGUGGGGAAGAAAGCCUUGGGGCUAAUACCCUCGAGGAAGGACAUCACCCACAGAAGAAGCACCGGCUAACUCCGUGUCAGCAGCCGCGGUAAUACGGAGGGUGCGAGCGUUAAUCGGAAUUACUGGGCGUAAAGCGCGCGUAGGCGGUCUGAUAAGCCGGUUGUGAAAGCCCCGGGCUCAACCUGGGAACGGCAUCCGGAACUGUCAGGCUAGAGUGCAGGAGAGGAAGGUAGAAUUCCCGGUGUAGCAGUGAAAUGCGUAGAGAUCGGGAGGAAUACCAGUGGCGAAGGCGGCCUUCUGGACUGACACUGACGCUGAGGUGCGAAAGCGUGGGUAGCAAACAGGAUUAGAUACCCUAGUAGUC
rnacentral:rRNA from 1 species